rnacentral:rRNA from 1 species
GACGAACGCUGGCGGCGUGCCUAAUACAUGCAAGUAGAACGCAGUGGCGAACGGGUGAGUAACGCGUAGGUAACUGCCUCAUAGCGGGGGAUAACUAUUGGAAACGAUAGCUAAUACCGCAUACUGGGAGAUGGACCGGCGUUGGAUUAGCUAGGUGGUGAGGUAAAGGCUCACCAAGUCGACGAUACAUAGCCGACCUGGGAGGGUGGUCGGCCACACUGGGACUGGGACACGGCCCAGACUCCUGCGGGAGGCAGCAGUAGGGAAUCUUCGGCAAUGGGCGGAAGUCUGACCGAGCAACGCCGCGUGAGAGAAGAAGGUUUUCGGAUCGUAAAGCUCUGUUGUUAGAGAAGCGGUACCUAACCAGAAAGGGACGGCUAACUACGUGCCAGCAGCCGCGGUAAUAC